GACGAACGCUGGCGGCGUGCUUAACACAUGCAAGUCGAACGGAAAGGCCCUGCUUUUGUGGGGUGCUCGAGUGGCGAACGGGUGAGUAACACGUGAGUAACCUGCCCUUGACUUUGGGAUAACUUCAGGAAACUGGGGCUAAUACCGGAUAGGAGCUCCUGCUGCACGGUGGGGGUUGGAAAGUUUCGGCGGUUGGGGAUGGACUCGCGGCUUAUCAGCUUGUUGGUGGGGUAGUGGCUUACCAAGGCUUUGACGGGUAGCCGGCCUGAGAGGGUGGCCGGCCACAUUGGGACUGAGAUACGGCCCAGACUCCUACGGGAGGCAGCAGUGGGGAAUAUUGCACAAUGGGCGGAAGCCUGAUGCAGCAACGCCGCGUGCGGGAUGACGGCCUUCGGGUUGUAAACCGCUUUCGCCUGUGACGAAGCGUGAGUGACGGUAAUGGGUAAAGAAGCACCGGCUAACUACGUG
rnacentral:rRNA from 1 species